rnacentral:rRNA from 1 species
GAUGAACGCUGGCGGCGUGCCUAAUACAUGCAAGUCGAGCGAACAGACGAGGAGCUUGCUCCUCUGAUGUUAGCGGCGGACGGGUGAGUAACACGUGGAUAACCUACCUAUAAGACUGGGAUAACUUCGGGAAACCGGAGCUAAUACCGGAUAACAUGUUGAACCGCAUGGUUCAACAGUGAAAGACGGUCUUGCUGUCACUUAUAGAUGGAUCCGCGCCGCAUUAGCUAGUUGGUAAGGUAACGGCUUACCAAGGCAACGAUGCGUAGCCGACCUGAGAGGGUGAUCGGCCACACUGGAACUGAGACACGGUCCAGACUCCUACGGGAGGCAGCAGUAGGGAAUCUUCCGCAAUGGGCGAACGCCUGACGGAGCAACGCCGCGUGAGUGAAGAAGGUCUUCGGAUCGUAAAACUCUGUUAUUAGGGAAGAACAAAUGUGUAAGUAACUAUGCACGUCUUGACGGUACCUAAUCAGAAAGCCACGGCUAACUACGUG